rnacentral:rRNA from 1 species
UACGUAGGGACCAAGCGUUGUUCGGAUUUACUGGGCGUAAAGGGCGCGUAGGCGGCGCGGGUAGUCAUCGGUGAAAGUUCAGGGCUCAACUCUGAAUCGGCCGGUGAUACUCUCGUGCUUGAGCACUGUAGAGGCAGGUGGAAUUCCGGGUGUAGCGGUGGAAUGCGUAGAGAUCCGGAAGAACACCGGUGGCGAAGGCGGCCUGCUGGGCCAGUAGCUGACGCUGAUGCGCGACAGCGUGGGGACAAACGG